rnacentral:rRNA from 1 species
CAGCAGCCACGGUAACACGAGGGGGGCAAGCGUUGUCCGGAAUUAUUGGGCGUAAAGGGCUCGCAGGCGGUUUCUUAAGUCCGAUGUGAAAGCCCCCGGCUCAACCGGGGAGGGUCAUUGGAAACUGGGAAACUUGAGUGCAGAAGAGGAGAGUGGAAUUCCACGUGUAGCGGUGAAAUGCGUAGAGAUGUGGAGGAACACCAGUGGCGAAGGCGACUCUCUGGUCUGUAACUGACGCUGAGGAGCGAAAGCGUGGGGAGCGAACAGGAUUAGAUACCCCCGUAGUCCCUGUCUCUUAUAC